rnacentral:lncRNA from 1 species
UAUGCAUUGUGUUUGUGGCACCCUCCAUGGAUCAUCUCUUGUGAGCUAUGCUUUCCUUGUGUAAAUUGUUAAACUUCAUGUGUCUCUCUCUUUGUCUCCAAUGUGGGUUUAUCUCAGGACUUCCCAGGUCGAUAUUCAAUGUUUUCCUGUAGGGGUUAGUCCAACAAAAUAUCCAAUAUCUACUAUAGCAUACUAUAGGCUCAAAAAUCAACCUAGACACCAUGUCUAAUUUGAUUUAGGAGGGCAUUUUAACCUAAGCAUCAU